UGUCCGCCUGGGAACUACGAGCAUCAGCUUAAAACCCAAAGGACUUGGCGGUGCUUAAGAUCCACCUAGAGGAGCCUGUUCUAGAACCGAUAACCCCCGUUAAACCUCACCCUCUCUUGUUCAUACCGUCUAUAUACCGCCGUCGUCAGCCUACCCUGUAAAGGUCACAUAGUAAGCACAAUUGGUAAAACCCAAAACGUCAGGUCGAGGUGUAGCAUAUGAGAGGGGAAGAAAUGGGCUACAUUCUCUGCACCCAGAGCAUACGAAAAAUGUACUGAAAACUACAUUAGAAGGAGGAUUUAGCAGUAAGUGGAAAAUAGAGCGUACCACUGAAACUGGCCCUAAAGCGCGUACACACCGCCCGUCACCCUCUGCAGUCAA
rnacentral:rRNA from 1 species